rnacentral:misc_RNA from 1 species
AAGUACAAGUCGUAACAAGGUAUCCGUAGGUGAACCUGCGGAUGGAUCAUUACUAAAGGUUUUUACCCGACGUAUUGUGAACUGUAUUGAACCACGGUAAGCGGCAGGUGAGAGGGAUCUAUGGUCCUUCUCCAGUCGCUGGCUGUACAACCAAACGUAGCCAUUUCCAAACCUGAAGUCUUUUUAGUAUUAAACUAAGAUAACUUUUAGCAACGGAUCUCUUGGCUCUC